rnacentral:rRNA from 1 species
CAGCUAGUUGGUAGGGUAAUGGCCUACCAAGGCGAAGAUCGGUAUCCGGCCUGAGAGGGCGCACGGACACACUGGAACUGAAACACGGUCCAGACUCCUACGGGAGGCAGCAGUGGGGAAUUUUGCGCAAUGGGGGAAACCCUGACGCAGCAACGCCGCGUGGAGGAUGAAGCCCCUUGGGGUGUAAACUCCUUUCGACCGGGAAAAUUAUGAUGGUACCGGUGGAAGAAGCACCGGCUAACUCUGUGCCAGCAGCCGCGGUAAUACAGAGGGUGCGAGCGUUGUUCGGAAUUAUUGGGCGUAAAGGGCGCGUAGGCGGUAUUGUAAGUCACCUGUGAAACCUCUGGGCUUAACUCAGAGCCUGCAGGCGAAACUGCAAUGCUGGAGGGGGGGAGAGGUGCGU